GCCAAGGCUCUGGUUCAAACAUGGACGAUAUAAGAAAUUAAGAAUGACAACUCUCAUUAAUAAACUUUUAUUGGUUAAUCGUCAGUAUGAUGAACGUAGUAGCUAAAUCUGAGAAUGUCGAAGUUAAGUGCUUAUUAUGUUACCGGUUUCAACGGUUUCCAGCAAUUCACAGAUUUAGUUGAAGGAGUAGACAGCUUGGAAACAGGUGUUGCCUCUUCUAAAGAAAAACGAGCUAAAAAGCAGCAAAAUGAAUCCAGAAUUUGUUUCCUCAGCUUCACAAGGCUAAGGUAUUUGAAAUAUUUGCUGUUUUCUUGGUCAACCACGUUUUUCAGUGAAGCUGAUGACGAGAAACUUGUAUCUCAUGGCUAUGAAAAAUUGUCAGAACAUUUCAAUGCAGAGAAGCAGGGCAUUUUCCCCUUUUCAACUGACACAAGCUGUAAUGAAGAACGCGUUGUGAAUCCUGAGGAAGAAGUUAUUUUGGAUUUUGCUGCUACAAGUUAUGUUAAAAUUGCCUAUGCAGGCUGUCCUCGAGGUCAUGGAACAGUACCUUUUACUGCCGUAGCAGAAGCAAUUAAUGGAAACGUUGCUAAGCAUUUCAUUAUUACCAAUAAAGAGGAAGUUCUUGUCUGUAAUAGAAAGGAAGAAAGAGAAAAGAUCAACUGGAUAGAGAACAGAGUAAUCAGAAAGUUUCAUUUAUCAGAUGACUUUUCUGUAAAAGAUGUAAGCUGUGGGAAAGAACACACUUUGUUGCUUACAGACAAUGGUAGAGUGUACAGUUUUGGAACAGGCAGCAAAGGCCAGUUGGGCUUAGGUUCAUUGGAGAGCCAUAAAGAACCUGUAUAUGUUGAUGCUUUGGAACCACUCAUUAUCAGGGAAAUCAAUGCUGGAGGUUGGCAUUCUUUAGCACUGACAGACACUGGUGAUUUGUAUAGUUGGGGUUGGAAUCAGAGUGGACAACUUGGCAUAGGCUGUUUUCCAGAAGACAGCAGUUGGGGAAAUCAGAGGCCUUGUAGUACAGUGCAGAGCUGCAAACGAGUACUGUUUGGAACAUUGCCAAAUCUUGUAGAUGUCACUGAAGACAUCGUUUCGGUGAGCUGUGGAUCAAGGCAUUCAGCAGCUGUUUUGAGAGACAAUAGUCUUUUAACGUGGGGAUGGAACGGGUAUGGCCAAUUGGGACAAGGAGACAAAGUGGACAGGCAUUGUCCUAAGAGCGUAGAAGGACUCAACACUGGAGCAUUCUCUAAAGCAAAAGUUGUUUGCAAUGCAUGGAAUACUAUUAUAUGUUUACAGGCUUAAAACUUGUUUACAUGAACAUAAAACGGUUUAGUUGGGAAACAAAUCCCAGUCAAACAAAAUUCAAGUUUUGAAGUAUGAACUCGUUUUUACUCCAAGUCGUUGAUAGUCAGCUUAACAAUCUUCUGGCAAAAUAUUUAAAUAUUUAAGAUAUCAACGUAUUGAAAUGGAUCGUACCACUAGACCAUGUCGUUUUAAUGUAAAUAUCCGGAAUUUCAAACGUUUACAUUGGAUACACGUCGGAUGAAUGUUUCUAUAAAAUCUAUAUAUAUAUUAAAAAAUUAUUUAUGCAUAUAGAUAUCCGGAAUUUCAAACAUGGGAUAGGUCGGAUGAAUGUCUCUAUAUAGAAAAUGGGGGGGGGGGGAUAUAUUACAAACACCCCCGUGUACCCAGCCCAGUGAAAACUGUCGCUGGUGAAUUCACGUCGGGCUUGUUACACAGAGUUGUUUUCAAUUCCAAAAUGCACUGCACCAGGUCUGGGCUGAAAUCAGGGCACAUGACAUGCCAAUAAGUAACAAAACCUGAACCCCCUAGGGUCCUAUAUAGUGAGCUGACUUAUUUUGAAUUCUGUUAAACCCUUGUGGUGUGAAACUUGUAUUUUUCAUUUUUAGGUAUACAAACGCUUUAAAACGGCUUUAUUUUUGCUGAAGGAAAUCAAGAAUGCCUUUUGAAAGGGUCAGGAUAGCUACCAUCGCAUCCAAUACCCACGUCUGCUAUUGGUGUAGAAUUGUGAACAAGCCAAUAAGAAGUUAGAAGUAUUCCAAACUGUAAAUUUAAGUGUUUUGUUUGUUUGAGCCUUCCUCACAAACGAUCAGCUGCAGAAAGAAGAGGCCAUGUUAAGAAUCCAGAGAAUAUCACGGUUCCGCGGCUGUGAGUCGGAGGUUAUCCAACGAUGCAGUAGUAAUGUGGAGGCU